rnacentral:rRNA from 1 species
CAGCCGCCGCGGUAAUACGUAGGGUCCGAGCGUUGUCCGGAAUUAUUGGGCGUAAAGGGCUCGUAGGCGGUUUGUUGCGUCGGGAGUGAAAACCCAGGGCUUAACUUUGGGCUUGCUUUCGAUACGGGCAGACUUGAGGCAUUGAGGGGAGAACGGAAUUCCUGGUGUAGCGGUGAAAUGCGCAGAUAUCAGGAGGAACACCGGUGGCGAAGGCGACUGACUGGACAAGUAUUGACGCUGAGGUGCGAAAGCGUGGGGAGCAAACAGGAUUAGAUACCCCAGUAGUCCCUGUCUCUUAUAU